CAUACCACCUCAUCACAUUGGGGUUUUUUGGCUCCUUUUUCCUCUUCUAGAUUGGUCUGUCGAGAGCCAUCAGAUUACAUUGACUUGGCCCCACUCCCAUUCCUCCUGAAGUGGAUGGGAAGCAUUGCAAGAAGCUUCCUCUGCCAGGACAGAGAGGCUGAAUGCUGGUUCCUGAUUCUUCCAAUGGAAGCAUUUCACACAACAAACAAGAGUCCAAGGUGGGUGGUCCUGUGAUGCUAUGCAAAGUGUGAACUAGCAAUUAC
rnacentral:lncRNA from 11 species